rnacentral:rRNA from 1 species
GACGAACGCUGGCGGCGUGCUUAACACAUGCAAGUCGAACGGAAAGGCCCUGCUUUUGUGUGGUGCUCGAGUGGCGAACGGGUGAGUAACACGUGAGUAACCUGCCCUUGACUUUGGGAUAACUUCAGGAAACUGGGGCUAAUACCUGAUAGGAGCUCCUGCUGCAUGGUGGGGGUUGGAAAGUUUCGGCGGUUGGGGAUGGACUCGCGGCUUAUCAGCUUGUUGGUGGGGUAGUGGCUUACCAAGGCUUUGAAGGGUAGCCGGCCUGAGAGGGUGACCGGCCACAUUGGGACUGAGAUACGGCCCAGACUCCUACGGGAGGCAGCAGUGGGGAAUAUUGCACAAUGGGCGGAAGCCUGAUGCAGCAACGCCGCGUGCGGGAUGACGGCCUUCGGGUUGUAAACCGCUUUCGCCUGUGACGAAGCGUGAGUGACGGUAAUGGGUAAAGAAGCACCGGCUAACUACGUG